UUUCCGUAGGUGAACCUGCGGAAGGAUCAUUAACAAACAGACAAACAAAUAGUACUGUUGAACCGGGUUGCUGCUGGGUCCUCCCGCAAGGGAAGAGCCAGCAAAAAUCCAAUCUGUGCCCGCAACGACGUCCGUCCUAGCGGGUCUAGAUACAACACCACACACAUUACAAACACAUUGACAAGCUACAAUCAAUCAGUAACAAAAUGAGACUUUUAACAAUGGAUCUCUUGGCUCUU
rnacentral:misc_RNA from 1 species